rnacentral:rRNA from 1 species
UACGUAGGGUGCAAGCGUUAAUCGGAAUUACUGGGCGUAAAGCGUGCGCAGGCGGUGAUGUAAGACCGAUGUGAAAUCCCCGGGCUUAACCUGGGAAUUGCGCUUGAAACUAGCGGGCUUGAGUGUGGCAGAGGGGGGGUGGAAUUCCACGUGUAGCAGUGAAAUGCGUAGAGAUGUGGAGGAACACCGAUGGCGAAGGCAGCCCCCUGGGUCAACACUGACGCUCAUGCACGAAAGCGUGGGGAGCAAACAGG